GGAGGCGCAUGAGGGCUGGAGACGCGGAAGGCGCAUGGGGCGCAGCAGGCUCACGGGCUGCCAUGGCUCCCAGUUCGACAUCAUGUCACCGGAGCCUGCACAGAUGAACCAAGCUUGCAACACGGGAGGAACCUAAGCGCUGGACUGAGGAGCGGGACUGAAAUAAGAAGCGCACACCACAUGGCAAGAUCCAGGAUCCAAUCAGAUAGAGCCC
rnacentral:lncRNA from 1 species